CCCUUAGAUGUUCUGGGCCGCACACGCGCUACACUGAAGGAGGCAGCGUGUACUCCUGGAUCGAAAGAUUUGGGUAACCCGCGAAUCUCCUUCGUGCUAGGGAUUGAGGUUUGCAAUUAUCCUUCAUGAACGAGGAAUUCCCAGUAAGUGCAAGUCAUAAGCUUGCGCUGACUACGUCCCUGCCCUUUGUACACACCGCCCGUCGCUACUACCGAUUGAAUGAUUUAGUGAGGACUUCGGACUGGGACCGAUGCGGCUUUCGGGCUGCGUCGGUAUUCUGGAAAGACGUCCAAACUGUAUCAUUUAGAGGAAGUAAAAGUCGUAACA
rnacentral:rRNA from 1 species